rnacentral:rRNA from 1 species
UACCUUACUACAUGGAUACCUGUGGUAAUUCUAGAGCUAAUACAUGCUAAAAACCUCGACUUCGGAAGGGGUGUAUUUAUUAGAUAAAAAACCAAUGCCCUUCGGGGCUCCUUGGUGAAUCAUAAUAACUUAACGAAUCGCAUGGCCUUGCGCCGGCGAUGGUUCAUUCAAAUUUCUGCCCUAUCAACUUUCGAUGGUAGGAUAGUGGCCUACCAUGGUGGCAACGGGUAACGGGGAAUUAGGGUUCGAUUCCGGAGAGGGAGCCUGAGAAACGGCUACCACAUCCAAGGAAGGCAGCAGGCGCGCAAAUUACCCAAUCCCGACACGGGGAGGUAGUGACAAUAAAUACUGAUACGGGGCUCUUUUGGGUCUCGUAAUUGGAAUGAGUACAAUCUAAAUCCCUUAACGAGGAACAAUUGGAGGGCAAGUCUGGUGCCAGCAGCCGCGGCAAUUCCAGCUCCAAUAGCGUAUAUUAAAGUUGUUGCAGUUAAAAAGCUCGUAGUUGAACCUUGGGUCUGGCUGGCCGGUCCGCCUCACCGCGAGUACUGGUCCGGCUGGACCUUUCCUUCUGGGGAACCUCAUGGCCUUCACUGGCUGUGGGGGGAACCAGGACUUUUACUGUGAAAAAAUUAGAGUGUUCAAAGCAGGCCUUUGCUCGAAUACAUUAGCAUGGAAUAAUAGAAUAGGACGUGCGGUUCUAUUUUGUUGGUUUCUAGGACCGCCGUAAUGAUUAAUAGGGAUAGUCGGGGGCGUCAGUAUUCAGCUGUCAGAGGUGAAAUUCUUGGAUUUGCUGAAGACUAACUACUGCGAAAGCAUUCGCCAAGGAUGUUUUCAUUAAUCAGGGAACGAAAGUUAGGGGAUCGAAGACGAUCAGAUACCGUCGUAGUCUUAACCAUAAACUAUGCCGACUAGGGAUCGGGCGGUGUUUCUAUGAUGACCCGCUCGGCACCUUACGAGAAAUCAAAGUUUUUGGGUUCUGGGGGGAGUAUGGUCGCAAGGCUGAAACUUAAAGAAAUUGACGGAAGGGCACCACAAGGCGUGGAGCCUGCGGCUUAAUUUGACUCAACACGGGGAAACUCACCAGGUCCAGACAAAAUAAGGAUUGACAGAUUGAGAGCUCUUUCUUGAUCUUUUGGAUGGUGGUGCAUGGCCGUUCUUAGUUGGUGGAGUGAUUUGUCUGCUUAAUUGCGAUAACGAACGAGACCUCGGCCCUUAAAUAGCCCGGUCCGCAUUUGCGGGCCGCUGGCUUCUUAGGGGACUAUCGCUUAAGGCCCGGGAAGCCCCCAC